GUUGGGGAAUUUUGGACAAUGGGCAAAAGCCUGAUCCAGCAAUGCCGCGUGUGUGAAGAAGGCCUUCGGGUUGUAAAGCACUUUUGUCCGGAAAGAAAUCCUUGGCUCUAAUACAGUCGGGGGAUGACGGUACCGGAAGAAUAAGCACCGGCUAACUACGUGCCAGCAGCCGCGGUAAUACGUAGGGUGCAAGCGUUAAUCGGAAUUACUGGGCGUAAAGCGUGCGCAGGCGGUUUGCUAAGACCGAUGUGAAAUCCCCGGGCUCAACCUGGGAACUGCAUUGGUGACUGGCAGGCUAGAGUAUGGCAGAGGGGGGUAGAAUUCCACGUGUAGCAGUGAAAUGCGUAGAGAUGUGGAGGAAUACCGAUGGCGAAGGCAGCCCCCUGGGCCAAGUACUGACGCUCAUGCACGAAAGCGUGGGGAGCAAACAGGAUUAGAUACCCUGGUAGUCCACGCCCUAAACGAUGUCAACUAGUUGUUGGGGAUUCAUUUCCUUAGUAACGUAGCUAACGCGUGAAGUUGACCGCCUGGGGAGUACGGUCGCAAGAUUAAAACUU
rnacentral:rRNA from 1 species